UACGGGGGGUGCGAGCGUUAAUCGGAAUAACUGGGCGUAAAGGGCACGCAGGCGGCCAUUUAAGUGAGGUGUGAAAUCCCCGGGCUUAACCUGGGAAUUGCAUUUCAUAUUGGGAGUCUAGAGUACUUUAGGGAGGGGUAGAAUUCCACGUGUAGCAGUGAAAUGCGUAGAGAUGUGGAGGAAUACCGAAGGCGAAGGCACCCCCUUGGGAAUGUACUGACGCUCAUGUGCGAAAGCGUGGGGAGCAAACGGG
rnacentral:rRNA from 1 species